rnacentral:ribozyme from 13 species
GCAAAAAAAAAAAAAAAAAAAAAAAAAAAAAAAAAAAAAA